GAUGAACGCUAGCGGAGCGCCUAACACAUGCAAGUCGAACGGUACUUCGGUACAGUGGCAGACGGGCGAGUAACACGUGCUUAAUUUGCCUCGGAGCGGGGAACAACGGUUGAAAGGCCGCUAAUUCCCCAUACGAUCCUAGAAAUGAAAAUACUAGGAUGAAAGGUUUACCACUCUGAGAGAAGAGCGCGGCCUAUUAGAUAGUUGGUGAGGUAACGGCUCACCAAGUCGAUGAUGGGUAGCUGGUCUGAGAGGAUGAUCAGCCGCAAUGGAACUGAGACACGGUCCAUACCCCUACGGGGGGCAGCAGUGGGGAAUAUUGGACAAUGGAGGAAACUCUGAUCCAGCGACUCCGCGUGGAGGAUGACGCAUUACGGUGUGUAAACUCCUUUUUUGGAGGAAGACGACUGACGGUACUCCAAGAAUAAGCGACGGCUAACUACGUG
rnacentral:rRNA from 1 species